rnacentral:misc_RNA from 1 species
CUGUAAAUGGGCAUAACAGCCAAUGGUACUCUCAUCUCAGCAUAGGAAACAAAUGUUUAACAAUUACUAUAGUCCACUGCAUAGGAAAAUUAGUGUAUUUAACUGCAGCGGCUAUUAAAUAGCAAAGUUGAAAAUCAAUGAUGUGCACUCGCAUAUGAUAAUAACUUCAAGAUGAAUGAUUGCAAGCAUAGGCAUUAAGAGUGGUACUUCAACAGCCAAGAACAGUAAUUUCAAAAUAUGAUACUUGAGGAAAAG